GUCUGUGGAGGACUAGCGGUUAGGCAACGGCACUCCGACUGCCGAGGCCCGGGUUCGAUUCCCGGCACACGACA